GUCUUGGGCUGGCACGAAGAGCUGCCCGGCCAGAGCAUCCCGGCCAGGUGAGUGUCAGAAGACAAAUUGAAGUAUUCAGCUAAAUAAGCAACUGCAAAACUGAAUUUAUUCCUCUUCAAGAACUACUCUUCUUGUAUGUUGAGUGACCAUUUGGCUGCCAAGAGAAACUGCUUUGCCUAGGAAAUAAUAUGGACUGAAAAAUCAGUUUCAAACACAAAUGAAAAAUAUUCCUUAUGUUUGGUCAUCUUCUUUCCACAUCAAAUAUACAUGUAAAGAUGUAUAUAAGAUAUAAUCUGAAGAUAAUCAAACAGCUAUUAACUGGAUUUCUGCAUUUCGCCUAUCCUUCAAAACCAGCCUCAAGUCUACCUUUAUGUUGAGAGAGUGUAUCUUUAACUCAUGGUGUUCUCUUUCUCCUUUCACAUUUCCUGUAAACUCAUCAUGAAUUGCCUUGUUUAUUGUUUUGAUUUCUCAUUCAACAACACCAGAAUACUCUGUGUUUAGGGUAACCUUAGACUUCAGUUUUCCUGAGGAGUUUCAGUUUACACGUCUUGCACCGGUACAAUUAACAGUGCCCCUUUCAGGUUAAAAAGUGUCUCAGUGUAGUUCAUAAAUUAUAUAGUCACCCCAUGUGUGCAGCAAUCAGAGCUUUUUCAAUGCAAAGUUGAUUAUGAUGGGCAUAAAUGAAUCAUAAUAAAAAGUUCUAGUAUGAUCCCAUCUGACUGGGCUUCUUGUGAUGGCCCAUUUCAACACCAUGGGUGUCAUUAGUGGCUUCACAAUGGUUCUUCUUGUAAAUUCCCUCAUGACCUAGAGUUUUGAUUUAUGCCAUCCUAGCCCACUUUAAGCUCUGACUCAUGCUGGGAUUGCCCUAAACAGGGCAGGGCAGACUAAUGGAAUGCAUUGCAUUGUCCUAACAUUUCUUAACCUGCCCAAGGUUGAACAUGCUUGUUUGUUUUUCUUUUGCUCUCCAAAAAUCUUUAUGCUAGCGUAAAGGCCUGUUGUAAUCACAUAAAUUACUCACUAUGUAACAGGAGAAGUUGAAAUUUGUCCCUGAAACAUAAAGAUUAUAUAUAAUAAAAGCCUUAAAAACCUA
rnacentral:lncRNA from 10 species